GAUGAAGAACGCAGCGAAAUGCGAUAAGUAAUGUGAAUUGCAGAAUUCAGUGAAUCAUCGAAUCUUUGAACGCACAUUGCGCCCGCCAGUAUUCUGGCGGGCAUGCCUGUUCGAGCGUCAUUUCAACCAUCAAGCCCCGGGCAUGUGUUGGGGACCUGCGGCUGCCGCAGGCCCUGAAAUGCAGUGGCGGGCUCGCUGUCACUCCGAGCGUAGUAGUUACAUCUCGCUCUGGGCGUGCUGCGGGUUCCGGCCGUUAAAAGCCUUAUUUACCCAAGGUUGACCUCGGAUCAGGUAGGAAGACCCGCUGAACUUAAGCAUAUCAAUAAGCGGAGGA
rnacentral:misc_RNA from 1 species